CCUACGGGAGACAGCAGUGAGGAAUAUUGGUCAAUGGGCGCGAGACUGAACCAGCCAAGUAGCGUGAAGGAUGACUGCCCUACGGGUUGUAAACUUCUUUUAUAAAGGAAUAAAGUGAGGCACGUGUGCCUUUUUGUAUGUACUUUAUGAAUAAGGAUCGGCUAACUCCGUGCCAGCAGCCGCGGUAAUACGGAGGAUCCGAGCGUUAUCCGGAUUUAUUGGGUUUAAAGGGAGCGUAGAUGGGUUGUUAAGUCAGUUGUGAAAGUUUGCGGCUCAACCCUAAAAUUGCAAUUGAUACUGGCAGUCUUGAGUACAGGUGAGGUAGGCGGAAUGCGUGGUGUAGCGGUGAAAUGCUUAGAUAUCACGAAGAACUCCGAUUGCGAAGGAAGCUUACUAACCUGCCACUGACAUUGAUGCUCGAAAGUGUGGGUAUCAAACAGGAUUAGAUACCCCUGUAGUC
rnacentral:rRNA from 1 species